rnacentral:lncRNA from 1 species
UUGCGGUCAGAGAGGUCGAGGGAGCAGUCGAUGUCCUCGACGACGACGACGGACUUUGGCGUGGUGGAGACGAGCAGGCGGCGGAGGUGGGAGUUGGUGGGCACCGUGGUGAGCUCGAGGUCGUAGACGUCGAACUCGAGGAGGUUGGCGAUGGCGGCGACGAGGCUGGUCUUGCCCGUGCCCGGCGGGCCGUGGAGCAGGUACCCGCGCUUCCACGCGCGGCCGACGCGGGCGUAGUGGUCCCGGCGCGCCGCGAAGCGGAGCAGGUCGGCGCGGAUCUCCUCGCGGAGCGCCGGGUCGACGGCGAGCGUGUCGAAGUUGGACGGGUGGGAGAAGGCGUGCGAGGUCCAGAGGCGGUGGUGGUCAUCGCCGGGGCCGGUGGCGCGGUUGGUGUACAGCCGUCGCUCCCGCGACUUGAGCCGCAUCCGAGCGGCCUCGGCGAUGAGGUGGGGGAUGUAGUGGUCGUGGAUGAGGUCCCGGUGCUGGCGCGGGAACUGCAGCUCGAGGGUGCGGUGAUCGCCGCCGCCGCCCACGCCGUGGCCGCCGCGGCCGAACACGCCGUAGGGGCUGUACCCUCCGCCGCCCGCACCGCGUUCGGCGGUGCGCGCGGUGGAGGUCCAGCGGACGCGGACGCCCUGAUACGUGUCGUGCGUGGUGUGGGAGUCCGGGAGGGAGGCGACGGGGCGGUGCGCCUGGCGGGGCUUGUGGAGGCGCACGGCGGGGGCCGUGGCGAGGCAGCGCUCGCCGAGGUAGAGCUGCGCCGAGUCGUAGAGGUCGUUGGCGCCGCCGCUGGCGCCGUCGGCCUCGUCGAUGAGGAUGGUGCCGCUGGGCGGGCGGAACGCGGCGGCGACACGCGCGAGGAGGCGGCGCAGGCACAUCUCGGCCUCCGGAGGGAGGAAGUCCCGCAUCGCCGUGCGGAACACCAUGAGCGUCGCCAGCAGGGACCCCAGCGACCGCCAGUCCAGCACCAUCUCCAUGACGGCCGGCUUUCUUGCUCGCUCAGUUGCUCACUUGCUCUAUGGAAGCAGGGUGGGAGACUGGGAGUGGAGGGUGAGGUGGGGGUUUUAUGGAAGGGUAUGCGCGCGUCGUCGUCGGAUUCGGAGGCGAUUCGGGCGUCGGCUCCUCGGGUUGGGUGGGGACGGAGUGGAGUGGAGUGGAGUGGUUUGGCUGUCCGCGGAUGCGUCGGCGAGGUGUGCCGGGGCGGCACGUUUCUGCUGGGUGAUCGCGCGCGCGUGCUUUUUUCGGGCCGGACGGGACGACUUGACCUGCCGGGGCAACGAGCUAGUCUGCCACUGCCACCACCGUAAACGAGCCGAUGAGAGACGCUGCUGGUUCACGUUCUCUUUGGGCCUUGCAUCGUCGGAGGCCGAGGAAACGGACGGUGCACACGCCAUCAGCACACGUCAGUUGUGGUGUGGAUGACGAACGAAUCGUGAGGCUGACGGGGAAGGAAUAAUACUGGGUGUGCAAGUGUGCUGUGUGGACAAUGGCAUGGAGCUUGCUCGGCAGAUGCUAUAUGAUCCCGUUCGAGCGCCAAAAAAGCUAGCACCUUGUUCCAACGUAUUGCACCUCUUGUAACAAUUUCUCUCUCCUCCAUGCACCUCCUUAGCAAAUACGUUGGAGCUGACAUGGGGCUCAACUGCUCAAGCAGGUUCGGCCUGCAAAGACUGCCGGGUUCCAAGCUAGUAUGGGGUUUAAUGGGGGCCAUGGCCCCCCUUAUGCUCUAUAUGCAAUUUUGUGUGCACGUGCAAUUGCCAUGUUAAACUAUAAGGUAUUUAAAAAUGUCACUACUUGACUUUCUCUUAUAUUCUAUGUGAUUUCUGACUCCGUCUCUACUAUUUUUUUUUCCCUACGCGCGUGCGAUCGUGUCAAGCAGUGCCUGGUUUGGCGCGUUCUGAAGCUUGGGAGGAAUUCUGAAAGCCUUGUAUGGUUAGGUGUGGAGAGGUGAACGAACGGGACAAGUGAAAAAAAAGGGGGCAGAGCCAUUUUUGAUCCGCUCCAGCGGAAGGGACAAACCGCGGAAGAAUCAUCUGACUAGACCUCGGUCAUCUAAAGCCGCUUUUCCCUACGCUACAAUCUACGUGCAAACGACAGGCACAUGACCGAAAAACUUGGCACCUACGUUUGUCGAGCCAAUAAUUGGAACAGAUGUACGAGCCAGCACGAGUUCGUGGCUCGCCGAUGCCAUGAUGGUAUGAUCGACCAGCACUGCACCGUACGUGAUAAACUGUGUGAUCCCUAAAAUCCAAGAGCAAUGAUCGUGUCAAUCCCCACAAGUUUGAUGUGUUCUCGCCUUCCCUUUUUGACCGACUAACCGCAGCUACGUCUUCGAGCACCUUUCCAAUUCGUCAUGACUUGGAAAGAGACGCAUCGUGCCGUGAAGCUUCUCUGAAGCUUCCCGGUAGCCACCGGCGGCAAACUUGAUCGAGCACUUACUAAUGCAAGUGCCAAUAAUGUUACCACAACCUAUAGAUGCUUCAGUACAUCCUUCUCAUACGAAAAACCCAAGCCUUCUGAGAGCAUGCUUAUUACCUUCUUAAUGGCGAUAAGCAGGAGCACUUUAGCAAAGAAAGCAUACAUUUUUCUCAAAAAAGAAAGAGAAUAAAGCAUGCAUGAGUCGGCAUCCAAACAGUACGGGACCAAAGUGGCAAAGUGUUAAGUGCAUGCCGUCCACAUCAUCACGAGCUAACGAUCGACGACACGAGGGACGACGAUCUGCACUGUGCAGCUUGGUUUGUCGCCGAGCACGACCUGUCGUCCUCGCCUUCGCCGGUACGUCGCCGUCCCUGCCGCGGUGCUGUCGGCACGCCGAUGAGUCGGGCGUGCAGAGCCGGCGAUAUCCUAUUCCAACGGCGUCGUGUCCGGGACGAUGUACCGUGGCGUGUCAUGGAGCGGGCCCGUCUCUCCUGGGAAAGUUUUUCACAUGUUGGAGCGUUGCGCUUGUGCCCAAUUGCAUCGCUUGUUGGACUGUGUGACCUGUCAUGCGCCGCUUCCUCUCGAUUCUUUCAGGAUAACGCCGCAGCAGUUCUGAUCAUAGAAAAAAAAAAUAGACUCACCGGAAAAACCGUGAACCGGUGACCAGACCGGUUCGGUUCAAUUAAAAGAUUGAUCAUGCAAUUGGACCGGUGCGAACCAUCGAACCGAUCGGUUUUAUGUCGAACUAGUGAACCGGUUUUUUAUGAAUCAGUGAAAAACUCGAUGUUUGGACAUCAGUUUUGGAACUUGGAACAAUAGACUGUUAUGUUAUUUCUAUGUAAUCCUAUCUAUAAUGUCAUAUGUGAUAUGUUUUGGUAAUAAAACUUGCAUAUUACUCAUAUAAAUCAUGAGAAAUAAGUAUUAUAUUGAUAAAUGAUGAACCACUGGUUUGACUAGUGAGCCACUUGUUGGACCGGUGAACCAAUGAACGAGUAGCUUGGCCGGUUCGAUCUUCGGUCUGGCUUUUCGUUCUAUGGUUCUAAUCGAUCCGGUCCGACGAUGUGCCCCCAACAAAGUUAAGGUUCCCUGUUGUGUCACGAGAACGACAGCGCUGCAGCAGCAUCUCACUGGUGUGCACGUUGUAAAUGAUCUGACCUGCUGGCGCUGGAGUUUGUUCAGUUCAGUCCUCUUUGACUGUCAACACUCCUACGUGAGUCGGCAGCAGCAAUGACAGACUCACAAACUCCAUAUGCUUAAUCCCUGCACUUUGCGAAGUACGCACGUGGAGUGGAAUUGGAUACCUUUACUCAUGCCCAUUUCGUUUUAGCCUCGUAGGUUAGCCUCAUCCAGACUCAUCACAGCAAGUUUAAUAACAGAGGCAAGCUCUUGGCUAUAAGACAAGCCACAACAGCUCCUAAUAGCCAAGCCAUACAGCGGUUCCUGCUUGUCUCCACUUAAACGUAAAAGUAUUUUCUAUUCUUUAUGGGUCCCAGCUUCUCAUCUAUUUUCCAAUCAUCUCACGCCACCUCGUCUUGCAUAAGCACUUACCCCAUGCAAAAUUACUUCCGUGCUUUGGAGUCCGUGAGGAGCUGAUCGACGCAUGCAGCGCCAAGCUCCCUUUGCUCUCAUCCCCUCUCUCUUCCAGCUCGACACACGAUGCUGACCUGUUGGGCGAUACGCCCAUUAUUGGGCUAGCUCUUAGUGAUCGCUGUCAGUUCGACGUGACUUUUUCAGAAGUACAACUUCCUUCCGCAAAUAAACAACGUUCAUUCAAUCCUCCGGUUUAUAUAGUUAUGGUCAACUGUUUUUCUAAGAAGUUCGCAUGCAUUGUCCUGAAGUUACAAGUUCACAUGCACUAAAUUCACACUCCGAUAGCCAUGGCUGCCUAACAAUGACAUGCAUGUAUUAGGGCAUGUUUUGGUUGGUGCGUUUAGUGAGAUUUUCUGAAUUAUUACUGCAUAUGUCAUGUGUGGUAUUUGGCUGCUACCCUCCUAUCAUGUAUUCCUUACCUCAGGCAACGAUGCUUAUAUGGAGGUGCAUGACAGUUGAUGCUUGAGAACUCAUUGCUCAUUUGCAGUGGCGACGUAAGAGGGAGGCUGAGGGGGACCUCCCCGCCCCCCCCCCCCCCCGACCUCAAAUGGUUGAUGUAAAGUAACAAUGUCACGAAUUUUGACCAUAUAGAAAUGAAUGGCAAUUUUGCUUUUUUGCCCCACUAAUUAGCCAUUGGGCUUCCUCAUGGCUUUACUCUAGCUCCAUCCUUGCUCAUUUGUCACCCCUAUCUCUCCGCCGUGAUGAACCUUGCUCAAUGGUCUAGCACUAUCAUCCUCCCAGAUCGACGUACCCACUCCACCGCAGGCAAUGGUAACCCUUUCACACUUACUGUUUGAUAGUAAUUAGUGGACUUAUAAGCAUGUAGGUUUCUGAGGUCCUUAUACCGUUUGUUUGGCAUGCUUUUAUUACAAGUAAUAUGCAAAUAGACCAAAAAAAUUACAUAGAUGGUAUAAAAAGUUUAAUUUGUACACAUGGGAGUAUGGGACACAAAAAUGUUCACCUAGUCUAGUUGGCAAGAAUUAUUCGGGAGCAAAAGGUGUCCAAAUGGAAUGAAACUUUGUAUAUGAGGAAUCAAAAAUUUAUACUUCUACAAUAAAUCACGCAUAUUUUGCUUGCAGAACAAAGAAUUCGUACACCUGACCUCACAGACGAGAAUUAUUCAACUAAACUAUUCACAUGAGGGAAAAUGUUUAUACAUCUAGAAGAAAAAGUUGUACACCUAGCUUGAACAAAGUUUAUACACCACAAAUAAAAUUAUGGGAACAAAAUUCUAUACACAUAGUUAGUUUACUUAUGUAGAACACAAUAUUAUAAAUAUAGGUUUGUAUUUACUAUUUUAAUUUGGUGGACUUCCUGUUGUGGGCCACAUGUUGCUGGACUCAUUGGCCGUUAACGGUCCACUUUCCGAAUUUGUGAAUUUGUGACCUGAGGAUUCCCUAGCCUCGCCGCUGGUUAUCUUGUCUGAAGCAGUUGAAGAGAGGGGUGGUUACUUUUUUUUAACAAUGGAUGAAAAUCCGGCUUGAGACACCUAUAAAAGAGGAUGUACGAGACCACAAUUAUUACAAAAGUCAGCCACUAGUACAACUCCAGUACAUGUAAGAGACAUGGAGCUUAAAACAAAAAAGAAAAGGAUCCUUCAAAUUGCAAUUCGAGUAGUCAUCCUUCAUGACUUGCUUCGUAAAGUCGAUUCCUGAUGAUCCAUCUUCACACCAAGUAGGGCAAGAGUACUAUCAAAGCUUGACCAAUUCCAAACAAUGAGAGGUACUUCCAUCCGACUUUUUCAUCAGCUCGCUAAUUAAGGCCAUGACCACAAACCACUGGAUAGACAAAAUCAAUUUCCACGGCUAACACUGAGUAGAGAAGAUCUGAGAACUCUGAAAAUGAUGCCUCCAAGGAGGGCACGCCGCCACUGGCGUCGACGCCGCCCGUCCUGCACGGGCAAGGUUUUCAACAAGAAGAACCCAAGACACAGGGGGAGCAGCCAUGAUAGAUGCCUCACAAGAGGAGUACGACGCCCAAAGGCGUCACCGUCGUCGGUCCAUUGGAUCAACAAACAAUGGCUUUCGCUCAAGUGCUGCCCCAAAGUCACCCAAGCGUGUCCCAUACCACACCAUUGUUGAUUAACACAAACGGCUAUGCCUCCAUCGUAGCACAACAAACAUUGCAGCCCUCAUCGACGAAGUGUGUUCCAUACCACACUAACACCUUUGGGACGAACGCAAGCCACUGCGCCACCAUAGCAGCACACCAUCCUUGUCACAACGUACCUUCUGUCAAUGAGGAGCGUCACAUACCACGCCUAUACCAUCUCAGGCUUGAGCGUCCCCGUGUUGCCAUCAUUGCACACGCACCACAACAUAGCCUUCAAAGAUGACGAUGCACGUCCCAUAACAUGCACCGCCGCCAUCGUAAGCCUCGCCAAGGUGUCACCGAUACGAUCAAAAUUACCAAACUGCUGUGAAGAUGAAAGGAUAUGCUUCGUCAUGCCGUCGGCAGUGCAGGAGCCGCAGCACACGGCCACGAGCCAGUGCUUACGGACACAGUUACCGCUCCCGUAGGCCUCCAUUGCCAUGGGCGCCACCACCACCUUGCCGGCUGUCGCCCUCGCGUAGGGGAGGGGUGGUUACUUGGAAAAAAAUUGAGUGGGGACGGUCCCCACAGUCCUCCGCGUGAGGACCUCCUCACGAUUUCUGCCGCGUGGAGAACUCCGCGGAUCGACGAUGCUCGCACCGCGCUUGUUCCGCAACACGCAGGCUCACUCGCUCGCUCGGCUCUCAUCUCCAAACUCUCUCCAGGCUCGCUCGCUCGGCUCUCGUCUCCACUCGUCUGCCGCCACCGUCCGCGAAAAAAUUCCGUCCUCCGUCGCCUGCUGCCGUCGUCCAUGCCGCCGUUCCCACUGCGCACCUCUGCCACCCGCCGUCCAGGUCGCAUCGCCCCUGCAGUGCCAUAUACAGAGAAAAUACCAAUGGCGACCAUCAUAUAUGUUGUUUCAACUAAAGAGAGCACGAGUUUCAGUUUGACAAAUGAGAUUUCCGGCCAAACAGCGCUGGCAAUCAGCAAUCCUUCUCAUUCAUUGCUGGUCCCAGAAAACCUUCCAGGACAUAUUAGCAAUACAAGAGGUUUCUGGAAGUUCCUCUACUAACAAAAAAUAACACACGACUUGCUACAAAAAUUCGAAGUAGAUUAUGAUGAAACUCUAUGAUGCACUUGCGCUACUCCAUGCACCGACGAACCCACGCCGAGAGAUAGAAAGCAGUCAUGAACUCAUGAUGAGCCACCGAAAUUUCGAGGCGAAUUUCCAUGAGGGAUGAAACUUACUCCGGCUAAAUGUCUUUCGAAAGCUUCGAUUUAGUUUUGGCGUCUGUCUCCCCAACCAGUUUCUUCUGAGGAAUUGGACGCAUCAGUCAAUGGAAACAUCCAUACUGACUAUGAACAACAUUUUUUAUCUACUGGGCACAUUAAGCUCCUGAAAUUGGCACUACACUUUGCAGCUAUCCCACCAAAAUUAGCAGCAAUCCCACACGCGAGCGUCGAUUCCGCGUAUUGAUUACCUUCGGGCACGAGGUAAAUCCUAAGUUCGUCGCCGUACUUGGAGAGCAUCUGGAUGUGCGACGGGUUCAUGUGCGGUGGGACGCGGCUGAGGUAGCACACCCCACGCUUGCCGAACCCGUCCAGGCUCUUCCCCAGCAACUUCCUCUUACCCCCUACUCCUACUACUCCUUCCUCGUCUUCGCUUCCAAGGCCUUGCUCGUCCAGCUCCUCAUCCAAGAAGUCAUCUUCCUCCUCAUCCGUGAACUAGUCCCUCUCCGUGGGACCCACCAUGGUAACUGGCUCAGGCGGCAACCGACAGGGUAGAGAAGGCCUGUGGGUGCGCCUGUGGUAGCGGCCGCCCUAAGUGCAAGGGCGAUGCGACCUGGACAGCAGGUGGCAGAGGUGCGCGGUGGGAACAGCGGCGUGGAUGACGGAGGACGGAAUUUUUUUUCCGCGGACGGUGGCGGCGGACGAGUGGAGACGAGAGCCGAGCGAGCGAGCGAGCCUGCGCGUUGCGAAACCUGCGCGGCGCACGAGUGUCGUCGAUCCGACGAGUUCUCCACGUGGCAGAAAUCGUGAGGAGGUCCUCACGGGAAGGACUGUGGGGGCCGUCCCCAUCCAAUUUUUUUCCGGUUACUUGUGGUGGGUUGGGUUUAAUUGGGCUGGGGAGUAGCUUGGUAUGUAUUCCAGUGUUGACAAAACAUGUUUUCUUUUAUAUGCUUUUUUUUUCUACCUCAGAUAUAAGAUUGCAAUCAAGUGUGAGAAACGUACCGCCUUUUUUUCCUUGUUAGACAUGUAGUCCAGUCAGUGGUGCUAUGAUUUCCUCAUGUUUUUCUUUUCUGAUCAUUUUCGUCACACUGUUGGAAUUAUUUGAUCCCACCAGAAGAAAACUGUGUAGGUGGACAGCAAAACCGGGUGCUGCUUACGAAACAUAUAGAAGGUGGUAAACUGGUAUCAGGUAAUAACAGUUGACUCGUGAGGGGUAACCGUACUUGAGAAAUACACAUGCAUGAAAUAUCUAUCAGAAUGCUCACAACUCUGGCAAAUGAGUAUUGUUAUUAUGCCAAGCCACUGGGGAGACUGUAAUCAGCUAGCAGCUGAAGUAAUAAUGAUAUAUCAAAGACGACAAUACGAAAAUAGAGAACAAAUACAAGAAAUCAAAAAGGCUAUGUUCUUCUCCAAUCCCAGAAAUAGUGAUGACUGAAUGCAUGGUUAGUAAUAUACAAUAUUGCUAUAUGUACUCCAAUGAAACAUAGCAGGCAUAACAAAUUAAGAAGAAAUUCGCGUGUGGCUUUAUAAUUGCAGUGUGCUACAUGAUCUUUGGGUUUGUCCUAAAACUCUAAUCAGUUUCAUAACUGAUUGUAUUGCAGCUAUAUCUCAUCUCUAUAGCACAAGGUUUGCAUGCUGCAUCCUGCAUCAGCAUGCAGAAUUGCAGAUCAUAUUAUAUAACUAAAGCGACUGUGUGUAAGGGCGUCAAAGUUAUUGCUUGUCUCCGUCUCUCCGACCAUAUACCAUGCAUGCACACUUAUCUACACAAUCUCACAUGAAACCUCGAAGUCUCAAUCAGAUAGGCCAUGCUUAUCGAAACCAAGCACCAAAGCAUGCUUCGAUCGGCUUCGCUGAGAAGUCAGGAGGAGUAGCUGCUGGAGCUCUUGCUUGUCUCGCCGCCGCUCGUCGUCACGGUGACCUUCUCGCAGGACGGGCAGACGCCGCCCGCCGCCGCCGCCGCGCCCCGUGGGAACUGGACGUAGAGCCCAGACGCCGCCGACGACGACCGCUGCAGCUGGGCGAGCUCGUGCUUCAGCCGCUGGUUCUCGCCGGUGAGGCUCUCGCAGCAGCGCUUCAGGAUCUCGCAGUCCACCUCCGUUUGCUUCAGCUUUGUUCUGAAAGAUUUGCAGAAUCAGAACACGAGAUCGCAAGUUCAGAGCAUGCAGGUAGACAGCAAGCGCAGAUGUUUAUCUUUGUUCUCUUAAUUUCCUGGCACAUACCUUGCUCUCCUGUUUUGGAACCACACUUCUACCUGUCUCGCGCUUAGAUUCACCCGCCGAGCGAGCUCGUGCUUCUGAGCCUGUCAAGCGUCGUGAGAGAAGCGAUCUUUUCGUCAGAGAUGUUCUACUUCUACACACACUACAUCAUGUUCAUGCCAAUAAAGUAACUGAUACGAGGUUAGAGCUCAUGCAUACGUGGGACAGUAUGUUGUGGGCGCGGAAGGUGUCCUCGAGCAGGGUCGACUGCUCCUUUGUGAGCCGGAGCUUCUUCCUCGUCGCCGCACCGUCGCCACCGUCGUCGCUCGGGCUCAGCUCGUGCGACCGGCGGCCGUCAUCGUCGGUGAUCCUCAACCUCUUCCGAGCACCCUUCUCUGCAUUAGUGCCCACCGCAGCUUCUUCCUUGACGCUCUGUGGGAACAGCAAGUCGAAUUGCAGCGCCGACGACCUCCGCUCGCCGUGGCUCCUCUUCAUAUCGCCGCCGCUGCCUAUCCCUAGGCCAAGCCAUGAUUUCCCGAAAUCCUCGGCCUCCAUGGCUAGUCUAGCGCUAAACAUGGUGAUGGUGUCCGAGACUUCACAGGUCGCCCGGGUAGAUGAAGAGGAAGCAGUUCACAAAUGGUAGCUAGGAUUAGGGAGCAAGUGAGUAGUAGCCGGCGUAUGAAGGUUCGGCGUUGCUUUAUAGCUGCAGGCAGGCGACUACUGUUGAUGCCUGGGAAGGAAACAAUGGCAGGACGAAGUCAGUUUCGUGUGCGAAUUGAAGACGACAAGAAUACCCAGAGGUUAAUUCUAAUUCUAAUUACAAGGAGAGGGCGUUUUACUUGAAUACAGGGAUCGAGAGAGAUGGAUUGUAUCUGCCACCCGCAAGUUAAUGCUCCAAUUGGACUGAGAUGAGACACGAGGAAGGCAACCGGCUGAGACCAGGAGGGCCGUUUCCCGGUCUCCCGCGAAUCAGAUGCAAGCAUCGAUGGUUCCUGAAACCGACGACAUUUUAAGAGGCUCUCAUUUUUCAACCGUAGACGGCAGCAAUAAAAGAUGAAUAACCCCUCGUUUUUUUAUCUCUGUGGAAAAUGAGAGACUAGCAACGAAAGGCCGUACGUGUGAUGAGAGUCAGCUAGCUAUAGCUAGCAUAGUACUGCAAGUUGUGAACUAAACAGGUUAUGUUCUCUGAAAACAAAUUAAAAUUCAAAUGGUACACGUCUAUCUUGUCUGAAUGUACUCUGGAGAAAAAAACGCAGCAGGCUGAGAAUCUGUUCAAAGUGCAUCACCUGUGUCCUCUACAAGUCCCUUCGCUGGCCUUGGAGAUCAAACAAGCGGCACAGGUUCAGUGCAUGAUGAUGAUGGAUAUAUGAUCCAUGUCUACACAGGCAUCAACUCAUCUGCCAAAGCAUGGGAAAGAUCGAUAUCAAAGUCAAGAGUUCCAGAGCAUACAACAGGUCAGAAAGAAGAAACAGUUGAGCCCAAUCUCUCUGCACUGAUUAUUCCUAGGACACUCUCGUAGUACUGUACCUUUUGUCCUUGUCCGUAUUUAGAUGGUUCCGUUCAUGGAACCGAACGAGCUAAGUGAGCUCGACCUGCAUCGAUAAUGGCGAGGAUGCACCGGUCAUUGUCCGGCGGCGGCGGAUGUGCCGCAUUCGCUGAAAAUAUGAUCAGCGACACACCCACACGUACAACACCAAACCGUUCACGCAAGCCAGAACAAAACAACCCUUUGUCUGCCAAUCUCGCCGGCUAGCUCAGAACAAAGACUCUGAAACCAUCGAUCUCAGGGCAGCAACUUUUUUUUCAUAGGAACCCGGCCGUGUUCUUACUGCGAUCACUUGCGCCUCUUGCGGCACCCGGCAUGGCAUUGUUACUGGGGUGGAGGUGGUUGAGAUCUCCCCAUCAUUUGCUCGAAAAUUCAAGCGGUCAAAAAGGAGGGGUUUAUUACCCUUGAUGCAGAAGCUUCUGAACUUUUAACGCUCUAGCUGAUUUCUCGUGAUAACAUAUGCUGAUUUGGAAAGAUUCGUCCGGUGUUCUUCACUGUUUUCGCAUGAUAAUGUAUUUUUGUUGGACUGAUUCGUUCAAAGACAUGGGUCGCCUGAUUCAACCCUUCGAUGCCUACGUUUCAGUCGUCGAAUCAAUGAGUUUUGAACAGUGUAGAGACAGAGUGUGUAUAUAGGCAGCCACCAAAGCUGUCGACGAGGUCUUCUUUUAACCUAAUUAAGAUUCCUACCACAGCUCUUCUUUUUUUUGUUUUGCUCUUUUGGAUUUGGGUUUUCAACCUGACCUUUUUCACAUGAUUCACCUGUGUGCAUGCAGGUGGAGUUAUUUUAUUUAUGCCAAAAAAGAGGAUAAAUAAAGCGCGCCUCGAGAAACAUGUAAUGCCGAGAAAGCUGAAUUGCGGUAAAAAAAAAUGAAAUGCUAAUGCGGCGUGGAAAGUUUAGUUUGUUCAAGGGAAUAUGAAAAAUAUGAGGCAAAGACUAUAUUCUAUUUUUUUCCCUCCCUGGUAAUCUCAAAUCGGCAAGAAAUUAAACAAAAACGUGUCUCUCUAUUAUUGUGUUUUUUUUCGAAGCACGCGUGUCCAUAAGAAGUAGUAGUAAUCGGGGUUGCAUGAAGCACGGUUUGUCUAGUCAGAAGAAUUCCAUCAACUCCUAAUGUUUUGAGGUCAGAAGAGUUCAACUCCUAGUGCUUUCAGGUCAUCUCCUAGGAAGGAACGAGCCUUCGUAUGAAACGGUCCUCAUCAUCUGAACUGCUACUGCCAUUUUCCUCCAGAUUUAAACUUUUGGACAAACUAAACUAUGCUUCUUUUCCUGAGACAAAAAUCCACGAACUCAUCAGACUGUUGCCUCAGCUUCAUGCAGUGCCCUCCCUUCCCAGAAGCUUCAGAGACGUCGUCUCAAUCGCGGCAGCUGUUACGUUGCUUGUUCCAUCUGGGCCGGAGCUUGAGACUGAGACGUCAGACGCCUUAGAACCCAUGCAUCCCUGCCGCCUCGUGCCAUCAACCGGCUUAUAAUAAUGCUAAUCGAACACUAAUCAGUGCAGGAUUUUGACUCAUCUAUACCUUUCUCCUGCAGACAGGUUCAGCUGCUGCCCACACGUCAGCAUGGAUGUCUGAUGUCUCUACUGCUGGUCAUUUCAUUGACCGGCCGACCAAAAUGUGCUUGUUGGACGGUCAAUCAGGGCACAGAGCUCCACCUGCACGCACGCACGAGGAAGACCACCACCAGCAGCAGAGCUCUGAAGAAACCGAUGGUUCCAUCUCCAUCUCCUUCUAAUCUUCUUCUACGAAGCUCUCUCCGGUGGAGUGAGUGACAGGGUGACAAGGACUCUCAGGCUUGUUUGCUUCCAGCCCCUGGAGAAAACAUGUCUGACCUGAAAACUUGCUUCAACCAAACGACGCACUCCUCGAUCGAGUUGCCUGUGCAGGCAAAAAUCGAACACGUUCACACGCCCACAUGCCUGUAAGUUUUCACGUCUCGAAGAAAUAUUUAGGUUUCCAUCGCCGAGCGAGGAAGUCGUCGAUCGUACGUUCGUCCUCGAAUGCAUGCGCGGCCGGGCGCCGGCGACCAUCGGCCGUCGCGUCGGUGUCCCGCCCGUGCCGUCUCCGCCGAAAAAUCUUGGACCGCCGCUGGCGCGCGCAUCAGGGCUAGAUUUCGGGUGACGCGCGCGCGCGGGCGGAAAUGGUCGUGUCGUACGUGCCGCGGCUUCCUCCGGUCGUCCGCAGCCCGCACGAGCGGCGCGGCGGCUUCUCUCCCACAGGAAGAAGCACGGACUGCACGGCUGGGGUCCAAACUUCAAAGGUGACGGGACAGUUUUUCUAUUCUAGGGAAAAAAAAACUCUAGUUUCUUGUGUGAUGAUGAUGAGAUUUGCUACCGUUUACUUUGUGCAGCGGCCGUACACGUACUCGGGGAAAACCUGCAGGUGCGGUGCACGUAUUGACCUAUCCGUCCUUUUCUCUUGCGCAGACCAUAUACUGUAACUGUCCAAAUUCCAAGGGUGCGACUUUUGUGCCAGUGAAAUUCGUAAAUUAUAUUUUAGAUUACUCUAAUUUUUUUUUCUAAAGGUGUAUUAGGAUUUGGAGAAGUUUUCUAAUUUUAUCAUCCAAUUAGCUGUGCAAUCGGUGUUGCUGUAUUCUAAGAUAUGGUACUAACUUUUAUAUCGAAUUUGACUAACUGUAAGUCAAAUGCUAAAUUUGACCUGUUCAAAUAUUAAUAUUUCUUAUAAAAAUGCCUAACUCUUAUCCAUUGGAAAUAGUAACUUUUUCUCGAGCAGACAGAGAAAAUACUGCAAGGCGGCCUGGUCAAAAAGCCGCGUAGGCAGCCAGCGGGCCUUAGCACCUUGGGCUCAACCGUUCUACCGCGCGCGCAUGCCGCCGAAGAUGAAGGCAGCAAACGGGCCUCUCUACCGUUAGCUCGCCGGAACACCUACUCCUUUCCCGUUAAACAGAACCGUAGGCUGUAGCCCAGCCUCAAAUUGCACAGGGACGCGCCCAGGAAACAGACGGGCCGAUCGGGGAGGGCGAGAAAUACGUACACAGCACACACAGCCAAGGCCCAAGGGGACUUCGGGAUUACUGUCGUGGGCCACAGAGCCAGUUCCAAACGUAUCUGCUUAGGUUGGGCCCUUUUUCAUUGUGGUCCAUGGUCGUCGAUCGAGCUGGUUCGUUGUGCAAUUCGUGGGCCAAUCAGUGCCUCGGGUGCAGUUCACCGCUUGGGCCCGACCGUUUCAUCAGAUGGCCCAGCAGCCGCAGAAAUUUAACCGUUGGCGGUUGGGCCGGACUCGCGCCCGCCUCGACGGGUGGCAUGUUCGGAAAUAAACGCAAAUUCGUGGGCGUCCGCCUAAUGACAGGCUUAUAAAGCGACCCGCCCCCCGGUUAGGGUUCGCAGCGCCAGCUCCGCCGCCUACGCUCACGCGCCGCCGUGCCGCGCCCACCGCUCGUCAGGGAUCGAUGCGAGUUGUGCUGUCCUUGCUUCUAUCUUUGGCUUUUGCUUCUUUAGUUUCUUCUUGGUUUUUGUUUUUGUUUGAUUUGAUGGUUCAUCCGAGGGGAGAAUGGCGGCGAUGACGAAAAAACAUGGUUCGCUCGUCUGAAUGGCGGGUUCUCACCUGCCUUGCGGAGCUUAAAAGUAGUCCGAGCCCAACGCCUCCUGGAUCCAUCGAUCUUUAUUUUAUGGUGCUUGUUUCCUUUUUUGCAAUCUUACAAGUUUUGGUUUCUGAUGAGAAGGGGUGUUGCAAUGAUGAUAAUCUUCAGUCUCGAGAGCAGGUCUCUGCUCGGUGAGCCUGGGAAAUAAUCUCCAUUAUUUCCUCCUGAGCGGUUACCUGAGCAACUCCCAACAAUCACCCUCAGUGCAGAAAUAAUCUCCAUCAUGCUUUGGCACUGGCAAUGGUAGUUUGAACUUUGAACAAACGUUUGAUUGGGGAAUCGAUUCCAUUCUUUCCCAGAUUUCAUUCCAAGAUACAAACGCAAGUGACGUUCGUUUUACAUUCACUUGCAGCAUAAAAAUAAAACAAACAUGCACAUCACGCUGGUUGACUGCAUCUAGAAUGAAGCAAAGUGCAGAAAGCGAAGUAAAAAUGUAUGCUUGUGGGGUGUCACGACAGAACAGCAAGCUGUGAUGAUUUUACGAGGCUUGGUUGUUGGUGACCCUGCCCAUCCCGUUGUUCUGCUCCAGGAAGCGCACGACGACGCAGGUGAUGUUGUCGGCGCUGCCCCGCUGGGAGGCCUCCGCGAGGAGGCGCUUGGCGGCCUGCUCUGAAUCCAGGAUCGGCUUCACCAUGGCCACGGCUUCCUGCAAGCAGAGGAGGCAGAACAUGAAGAAAGCUUGGCUUCAAAUGAGCUCAUCGAACCGGACACCUUAACUUUUUCUGACGAAGGGUUUCGUGUUGUUUUACCUCGUUGGUCACCACGUCCCACAGCCCGUCACUUGCAAGGAUGAGGAACUCCAAGGAGCUGUCCACAACCUCCUCCUGAACCAGACAGUGGGUUUUUCAAAUAAUGAUGUGCAUCAAUUGCUGCAGAGAAACCAAAGAGCUCGCAAACCUUGAUCUCUGGAUCAGCGACGACAUACUGCUUCAAGAGCUUGUCACCAAAUGCUCGAGAAACUGCAAGAACACCACCUACACGCCAUGUUCCUGCCAAAUUUUCACAGAUCAAAGUUAUCGAUGAUUUACGAGUCGAUAUCUUGUAUUUUGGUGGCCAGUAAACCAAGGAGGUAGACAUACCAGCCCACAUCACAAAGCCACCAGCUUCCUCUAUCCUCUGCCUCUCAUCCGUCUGAUCUGGCUUGUGAUCUCUUGACACGGCUAUAGCUGCAGCACCAACAAGAAUGAAGCUCAUGGGUUGCCAGAAAAUUGGAUCACAAAAGGCCAGUUGUGCUUCGCGCGACAGUUUAGUUACACUAACUUAACCAGCAAACAUGCCGUUAAACAAAUUGGUUGCAUGUAGAAACUUGAAUUCUACAACACGUUAGCUGCAAGCUAGUUAUCACAAAUGAAGGGCAAACAAGGUCAAAGAAGCUGAAAUGCCAGAAACAUUGGCAAAAUAAUGUACCAUGGGGUUUGACUUACCAUCCCCUCCUCUGCAUAUGACCGCCCUAGAAUCCCCAACAUUUGCAACCACAAGGCGAUCACCUACAAGAAUAGCUGUGGAGGCGGUCGACCCCGCAUCUCGAUGAUGGCUGGUAUCAGCUUUCAGAAGUUCUGAGUCGGUGUGAGUGUAAGUUUCAGCUGCAGGAGGACACUACCAGCAUUCAGACUCCAAAUUUCAGAAUUCUUAAAAGCCAUAGCAAGUGCAGAGAGUUAUAGUACCAAUAGCAGAUUUGGUAUCACUGAAGAAUUUUGGGUGCUUGAUUAAAUUGGUGAAAAGGUUUUGCUUGACAAACUCUGCUGCUCGAGCUCCACCGUGGCCUACACGGGGAAAGAAAUCGGUUAGCAAUCAAACAAGGGAACAUGGCCAAUUUCCCCCACCAAAUGUCUGUUCUGGUUGACACUAGAAAUUGCUGGUAUAGGACAAGUCAAUAUUACUUGCUUGACGCUAGAAGUUGCUCGCUUACAUUGUCUACACCUAAAAAUGUUAAAGUGUCAUGAAUUUUCGAUUAGAAAUAGGCUGCAUCUUAUUACCGUCGAAAACGCCGAACAACCCAACUGUCUCUCCAUCGACACCAUCUACUCUGGUUUCAUAGAAGUCUUCCAUGGAAGACCUUUUCCCAGGAGAGCUUGCGUAGCCAUAGCUGAACUUGCCGUUUUCACUGCCAGGAUGAACAGAAGCAUUUGCAUGAAACAGGCUUAUUGGACAUCAACAAUUCACCAUAGUACAUAAAAUCGCUAGGAGCUGUGCAAAUGGAUGGUUAAUGUACAGUUUCAGCAGAUCCAUGAAAAGGAAAAUAUUCUAGAUGCAUGCUAAAAUAUUGGUCCUGCCUGCUUCUUUCUGUUUGCAGAUAAGUCUGUCUCUCUCCCCACUUAACAUAGCCUAGUAGCAAGAAACGUUUUGAAAAAGAUGGAAAACAGAAAGGCAACAUCAUGCACCUAGGAUCCUAGUACUCCUCAUCAGCAAAACAUAACAUGGCAGUCACGGAUUCGCUGAGAACUCGAUCAGGUUAAACAAGGCCGGAGAUAGUGACAGCUUUAGUAUGUCAAUGAAAUGUUUCCAAAGAUUCGGGCAGAGGCAGAGCAAGAAGAAGGAAGCAGCGAGAACGGUGAUGGCACCUGAACCCUCCGCCGCUGACGGGCGACCUUUCCCCGGCAAGCCCCAUCACGGCCGAUGACGGCUCCCUCGUCCCGGCAGCAGCUAGCACGGCAACAACGACGGCGAGGCCAGAAACAAUGGCCGGCCCCGGGAGCUUCUCAUGCGCGCGCCGUAAAUGGAGGAGGCAGGCAGGCAGGCAGGGCUCGUGGGCCUAAAAGGGCGGAGCGGACGGGCUCGAUGCGCGGUGGCGGGCGGCGGGCGACGUGGCGGCAGCCGAGAGGGGGCUCGUGGACGCCCCCGCCACCCUUUCCUUUUCUUGGCGCGUCGCUCCCCUGCCUGUCCGUAGUCUCGCCCGUGUUGGUUUUGGUCUCGUCGUGGUCCUCGCUGCCCUCCCUCUGCUCCGGCCCGGCCUCGAUCUCCCGGGGCACUGUGCUCGAGCUGUGAAGUGAUUUGCCGGCGCGUUGCGUAGCGUAGCGCGCUGCCUGCCGGCACCGGUGGUGGCGCGCCGCGCGUCAGCUGGCUGCUGGCUUUGGGGCGCGAGGAAGAGGCACGCGCGGGCACGUGGCGCGAGCCCGGCGACGGGGGAGGACACCUGAGCCGCCCCGGGAUGGCAGCGCCGCCGUCGAGAUUCAGUUGCGCAUCGCGUUACACGUCGAGGUGCUGAGCCUUUUUUUUUUUGGCUUUUAGGAGUUGACGUGCUGCGAUUGAGUAGCGGGACCUUGUCGUACUCGACUGCUCGUGGGGGUUAUAAUCCAGGAUCGAGCCACUGAGCAUCCAAUUUCUUUAUCUGCAUGUCCAUUGCUGAAAUGGAAACUGUUGGGAGAUAUUGUGCUCAUGUGGCACUGUUUUCAGCUUACUAGGUACAGGUUUAGGGCAUUUUGUCCAGUUUUUCUACUGAUGAAAAGGUAUGCAAUAAUCUGUGAAAAAUAUUCUAUUAAAAAUGAGCUGUAUUAUUUAUAGGGAUUAGGCUUUGCCAAUUUCUAUGGUCAAUUUGUUAAAAGAAAUUUAUUUGCCUAAAAUUAGACCGAAAUCAUUCACAAAAGACCCAGUCUUGGAUAUUCUGCAGCUUGGCCCAACGAAUACUUUUUAGUUGGCCCAACAAAUACUUUUUAGUUGGCCCAACAAAUUUCACCAGCAGGCCAAGAAAUACUUUCGGCCGUGUCAGCAGCACGCGUGAGGCCUGGAAGGCCCACACACGCCACGGAAGGGAGUCGGCAAUUCCGAAGCCCGUCUUGGCCACCGCGCGCGCCAUCACCGCCUCCGAUUCGAACCGACAGCACCUUACGUCGGCGGCACAGUCAUAACUCAUAAACUCAUAACCAGGCUUCCCAGUCGCCACGCGUAGCUCAACCAGCCCAGAUCCACGCCUCUCGCCGCCAUGGCCGCCGCCUCGUGCCGCUGCAGCAGCGUCGUGUUCGUGGGCAACAUCCCCUACCACGCGAGCGAGGAGGAGCUCCGCGCGGCGUGCGAGGAGAUCGGACCCGUGGUGUCCCUCCGCGUGGCCACGGACAAGGACACCACCAGGCACCAGGCCCCGGGGCUUCGCCUUCGUCGAGUACCUCGACGACGAGACCGCCCUCAGCGCCUGCCGCAACCUGCACGGCCGGGCCCUCCGCGGCCGCGACCUCCGCGUGGGCCUGGCGCGGCAGCAGGGCGCAACCACCCGCGACGACAAAGACGACGACCAGCCCGUGGGAGCCGAGGACGCCACGCACGCCGCGUCUCUGCUCGCGCCGGGCGCCCGGCCUAGCGGCGCCGUGACGGCGUACCUGGCGGGGCUGAGCUGGCGGCAGCUGCGCGAGUUGCUGGGCGCGCUGGGGCGGGAGGACCCGGGCCUCGUGGAGCGGGCCAAGCGGGAGUACGCCGGGCUGGCGACGCUGGUUGAGCAGGCGCGGGUGCUGCUCGACGUACGGCGCCGCGGCGGCCAAGGGCAGGAGGAAACGCGGCGCGGGCGGCCGGGAGCGGCCCGGCGCCUCGCCGGAGCCCGCCGACCAGCAGCCGCUGAAGCUGAGGCGGCUGGAGGAUGACAGGCCCGUUCCUGGCGUCGUCCGCCGCUGAUGCUCGAUUGAUCACUUGUUCCUUUUACUUUGGUAUAGAGAGAAUCACGAGCAUCGGCAUUGGCAAAUUGGGGAAUUGACGGUUCGGCACUCAGCAGAACUGGACCAGUGUUGAUGUUUUGUUGUUUUUUGGUUUGCCUCUCGUGUUGUGUUCGAUUGUGUGUUGUGUAGGCAAUGGAUGCUGAACAACAAGGCAGGACGACGCAUACGGACAUGGCAGAGCUCGUCCAUUGCUUGCACUGAAAGGCACAAGAAAGUUGUGCACCAUCCUCUGGAUAUAUGAUCUUUUGCUUUGCAAGGUGGAAGACCGAAGAUAGUUCAGCAAUUGAUCCUUUUAAUUCAUCAGUGGACACUGAUACUUUCAUGGUAUAGUCUUGGUUACAAAAAAGUCUGAGAACUAGUCCUGUUAGGGCUAGUCAAGAUCGCUUAUCUUUGCAUCUCUCCUUCCUCGUUUAUUUAUUUUCUAGCAUAAUAACAUAUACUGUAGAUAUUGUGCUAGGCUUUCAUUGCGCAUACUCACUCAUUUAUUUAUCUUUGCAUCUCUACUAUCUCAUUUAUUUUCUUUCUAGCAUAAUAACAUAUAGACAUUGUGAUAGGCUUCCUUUAAACAUUGCUCUUUAUGCCUUCUCAUCUCAUUAGUUUUCCAGACAUGUGUUCAACUGAAACCAUAACUAGAGGCCUAGAGCUAUACUAGUUACUUUUUUUCUUAAGGGAGCUAGUUAGUUCUUGUUGCACCCCAUAUGUUGUGAUCCUAUAUAUCUUACUUGCUGGUAUUCAUAAGGAAAUAUGCUAACUGUGCAUGUUAACUUGAAACUUAGUUUUUUGUUAUGCCAAACUCUCUUUGGGUCUUUAUUAUCGAUCUUAAUUCUAAAUGCAAUUUACAUUUUAUAUUAAAAAUUGAGAGCUUACAACUAAAUAAUCUAGAUAUGCUAGAAUGUUCCAUACCAAAUAUAAUGCAAAUAGCAAUUUAUAUAAUUCCUGUCAUGGAGUAUUGAUUCCAAAAAAACAAGCAAAGAAUUAUUAAUGUGAAAUAUUUAGAGGCAUGCAUAGGGCGCUGUAUUUUUUCUAUAACGGCAUGUGUGCAAUUUAGAUGUAGAUUUUGCAAUUACCUUAUGUUUCCUUUUUCUUAAAAAAGGAAGUGGAUAAUUUAGAAGUAAAUUUGGAGUUUCUAGGAUUUCUCUCAUUUUUUCUAUUACUUCUUGUGGAGAUUUAGGCAAAAGAAAUAUCCAAUUAGUCAUAGUAAGAUUAGUCUAAAAAAUAGUUAUAGCAAGAUGUCGCAACUACAUCCUUUUGCAAAGGGGUUGGAUUCAAGGCAGGUUCAAGUUAGACUUCAGCAAAGACAGAAUGGUCAUUUUCCAUUCAAAAAAGUUGAAAGGCAAGCAUUGAGGUCAUUUGGUAUAAAUUCAAAUAAAUUCAGAUACUAAUCUUUGGCAAACAACAGAAGAGGAAAAAGAAGGAAAGGUUCGAGGCCAUUUGCAAAAUUCUCUUUACAAAAUGCAGAUAUGUUUUUUAAACGAUGUCCAGUGGCAAAUAACUACGAGGAUGGCUCAGUCUUUCACGAAAGAUAAAUUCUUCAGGUCCAUUUCACAAAUCGGCCAGGUUUUGUCAUGCCCUCUAGAAAAAAUUUCCUAUCACACGUGCAUAUAUUUUGAACAUGCAUUUAAAGAAAAACUUUGAUCAUUCCAAGUAUCAUCCAUUUUUAGAUGAAAGAAUGUGUUUGGGAUGAACCAAAAGAGGGAGCACAAUAAUCGACAUGGCCGGCAUUAGGUGUCAGGUCAUGCCGGAUCAUACCCACGUCUGGCAUACCUAAUGCAGCCAAAAUCAAACCAGUAGUGGUUCACGCUACCUAAUUUUGUAUGACUCCCAGUCAAGUUUGGUCACUCCACAUCCUGACAUAACAAGUGCCCCAUGGAAUUUUGAUCCCCGGUUUUAUGUUUAUAUCUGGUGAUGAUGCAUCCUUGCUAAAAGUGGUAAAGAGGGGUUACCCCAUAUUUAGAUACUAAUUAGAAGUAUUAAACAUAUACUAUUUACAAAAUUUAUUGUACAGAUGGAGGCUAAACGGCGAGACGAAUCUAUUAAACCUAAUUAAUCCAUCAUUAGUAAUAGUUACGGUAGCAGUAUAUUGUCAAAUUAUGGACUAAUUAGGCUUAAUAGAUUCAUCUCGCUGUUUAGCCUCCAUCUGUGCAAUUAAUUUUAUAAUUAACUCAUAUUUGGUCUUCCUAAUUAGCUUUCGAAUAUUCGAUAUGACACGGACUAAACUUUAGCUCAAGGAACCAAACACCCCCUUAAUUCACCCUCCAAAUAAAAAUAGAUUUCACUCUUCAAAUUAAAAGCCUAUUCUUAUAUCGUUUUCUAUCGAAGCUUGACGUGCUCCACCAAUCCCUGACGCCGACACAUUGACACUUGACAGGAGACAACUUGAUAGCAAUCAUUAGAUGUCGUCAUUGCUCACAGUGACUGCGCAUUUCUGGGCAAUUCUCUUGGUGUUCAGAUCCGCGACGAGCUUCUGCAGCGCGGCGUGGGCUCCGUCGCCUUCACACCCCAUGAACACCUCCGCGACAUCGGCCGGCGUCAAAUGCACCUCCCCGAGCAGCCUCUCCGCCUCUCCGAUCAGCUCCUCGUACCUGCAGUCAUCGGCUGGCUCACGAUCGUCGUCACCGAGGUAGUUCUUGGCGAGCACGCGCAGCGCGUGGCCCUUGCAGUAUCCAAGCUCUAUCUUGCGGUCCAUGCGGCCGGGCCGGAGCAGCGCCGGGUCGAGGCGGCCGACGUGGUUGGUGGUGAACACGAUGAGCCGCUCCCCGACGCACGACGACCAGAGGCCGUCCACGAAGUUGAGCACGCCGGAGAGGCUGAUCUUCUCCCGGCGGCCAUGAGGUGGGAAUGGUGACAUGCUGACGGGACCCGGCGUUCCCGGGUCGUCGGACUCGGCGUCUUGGCUCGGCGGCGACGACGUCCUCGUCCGGUCGAAGAGGCCGAGCGAGCAGUCGAUGUCCUCGACGACGAUGAGCGACUUGGGGCGCGUGGAGGCGAGCAGCCUCCGGAGAUCGGAGUUGGAGCCCACGGCGGUGAGCUCGAGGUCGUAGAUGUCGAACUCGAGGAGGUUGGCGAUGGCGGCGAUGAGGCUGGUCUUGCCGGUGCCCGGCGGGCCGUGGAGCAGGUACCCGCGCUUCCACGCGCGGC